rfam:Astyanax mexicanus chromosome 23, whole genome shotgun sequence.
GUUUCUGUAGUGUAGUGGUUAUCACGUUCGCCUAACACGCGAAAGGUCCUGGUUCGAAACCAGGCAGAAACA